rnacentral:rRNA from 1 species
UUAUAAGAGACAGCAGUAGCCGCGGGAAUACAGAGGGUGCGAGCGUUAAUCGGAUUUACUGGGCGUAAAGCGUGCGUAGGCGGCUUCUUAAGUCGGAUGUGAAAUCCCUGAGCUUAACUUAGGAAUUGCAUUCGAUACUGGGAAGCUAGAGUAUGGGAGAGGAUGGUAGAAUUCCAGGUGUAGCGGUGAAAUGCGUAGAGAUCUGGAGGAAUACCGAUGGCGAAGGCAGCCAUCUGGCCUAAUACUGACGCUGAGGUACGAAAGCAUGGGGAGCAAACAGGAUUAGAUACCCCCGUAGUCCCUGUCUCUUAUAC